rfam:Tyto alba contig106229, whole genome shotgun sequence.
CAACAGGCUCUGUUAGGAGCCACUCCAAAAUACCAAUACUAAAAAG